rnacentral:rRNA from 1 species
UGUGGUGGAUUAGUGGCGAACGGGUGAGUAACACGUGAGUAACCUGUCCGUUUUCUUUGGGAUAACGGCUGGAAACGGCUGCUAAUACUGGAUAUUCAGGCUGCAUCGCAUGGUGUGGUUUGGAAAGGUUUUUUCUGGAAUGGGGUGGGCUCGCGGCCUAUCAGCUUGUUGGUGGGGUGAUGGCUUACCAAGGCUUUGACGGGUAGCCGGCCUGAGAGGGUGGUCGGUCGCACUGGGACUGAGAUACGGCCCAGACUCCUACGGGAGGCAGCAGUGGGGAAUAUUGCACAAUGGACGGAAGUUUGAUGCAGCGACGCCGCGUGGAGGGUGUAGGCCUUCGGGUUGUGAACUCCUUUUUCUCGUGAAAAAGGCAUGCUUUUGGGUGUGUUGAUGGUAGCGGGGGAAGAAGCGCCGGCUAACUACGUGCCAGCAGCCGCGGUAAUACGUAGGGCGCGAGCGUUGUCCGGAUUUAUUGGGCGUAAAGAGCUCGUAGGUGGUUCGUCGCGUCUGUCGUGAAAGCCAGCAGCUUAACUGUUGGUCUGCGGUGGGUACGGGCGGGCUUGAGUGCGGUAGGGGUGACUGGAAUUCCUGGUGU